CCUUAACGAAGGGUUGUUAGCUUGAUAAUACAUGAAAGAAUAAGCAACUCCUUCUGUAUGAUAAAUUAAAGGAGCAAUAUCGUCACGUUUCAGUAAAUCAUAAUCAGAAGCAAUUUUUGUAAUAUAAUCAAGUAUUUCAGAAACUUUUUUCAAAUUACGAAGAUAUUGCGCAUAAACGGUCAUCAUAACGGAGCAUACUUCAAUAAUACUUUUCGGUUCAUCAACAAACACUGGUUUGAUAUCAGAAAAAGAGCCAGCGACAUCUGAAUUUUUUCUUGCUAACCGUUCGUGAGAUUUUACGCAUAGAAACUUGUAAAUUUCAAAAGCCUCGCUAGCUUCUUCAAAUUCCUCAAUAUGCCUUAAAAAAAAUACCAAAGAACGAAAAAUUUGUUGUGCUUGGAAGCAUUUUCCAGUAAGCUGAUAAAGCAUUCGAAUCAAGCUGACAGUGAUAUCGUAAGAUUUCUCUGUGUUUAUCCAUAUUGAUGUUGCAAGUUCAAUAAAUUCAACGGCGAACAUGUUUUGAUCACCAGCUUUAGGAAAAGAGGUAAAGUUACAUAACAAAGACCCAUAAUCGAGGACAAGUUGAGGCCAAUUUAAAUAAAGAUUUUUAACCGGACUUUUAGUAAAAAUUUUUGAUCCAUUUGUAUUAGUUCUUAAAAUAUGUU